GUCAUGUGUCAUACCAACUUGCCAAUGCCUGAUCUUGUCUCAUCUCUGAACCUGAGCAGGGUUGGGCCUGGUUAGGACUUGAAUGGGAGACCGCAGGGAAUCGCUGAAUUUGAGAUGACA
rnacentral:rRNA from 1 species